rnacentral:rRNA from 1 species
UGGGGAAUAUUGGACAAUGGGCGAAAGCCUGAUCCAGCCAUGCCGCAUGAGUGAAGAAGGCCUUUGGGUUGUAAAGCUCUUUUAGUGAGGAAGAUAAUGACGGUACUCACAGAAGAAGUCCUGGCUAACUCCGUGCCAGCAGCCGCGGUAAUACGGAGAGGGCUAGCGUUAUUCGGAAUUAUUGGGCGUAAAGGGCGCGUAGGCUGGUUAAUAAGUUAAAAGUGAAAUCCCGAGGCUUAACCUUGGAAUUGCUUUUAAAACUAUUAAUCUAGAGAUUGAAAGAGGAUAGAGGAAUUCCUGAUGUAGAGGUAAAAUUCGUAAAUAUUAGGAGGAACACCAGUGGCGAAGGCGUCUAUCUGGUUCAAAUCUGACGCUGAAGCGCGAAGGCGUGGGGAGCAAACA